rnacentral:rRNA from 1 species
UACGUAGGGGGCAAGCGUUGUCCGGAAUCAUUGGGCGUAAAGCGCGCGUAGGCGGCCCGGUAAGUCCGCUCUGAAAGUCCAGGGCUCAACCCUGGAAAGCGGGUGGAUACUGCCGGGCUAGAAUCCGGAAGAGGCGAGUGGAAUUCCUGGUGUAGCGGUGGAAUGCGCAGAUAUCAGGAGGAACACCGGUGGCGAAGGCGGCAUCCUGGACCGACACUGACGCUGAGGAGCGAAAGCCAGGGGAGCAAACGGG